GUCCAACCUAGAAAUUCUGUGAUUCUGUGAUUCUGUCCCUUCCAACCAUUCUAUCAUUCUAUGAUAGAUUCUAUGAUAAUCCUCUGCCACUUGACAAUACUAAGUGAAAUAAAACAACUCCAUGACCUAAUAACAAUAUUGAAAUACAGUUAUUAUGUAAAAUUACUUUUCUCCACCCCUACAGCCUCAGAGAGAAAGUACAGGGAAAGAUUAGAAGAUGUAAAAGAGUAUUUUACUUAGCCGAAUAGAAAUAUUUCUUCUUCCCUGGCAUGCACAUGCACACGUAUUUGCAGGCACGUACACUAUACUCUCUGAUGCUAAUAUAGUAUAACACUUACCUCAUAGCUAAUGACAGCAUUCAGCUAACAUUCUGGGUUUAAGUGACAGUUUCAAAAUCAGGAAAAUACAACCACACUACAAAUGAAAUUGAAAAUGUCAUUCAGAUGCUGAUGUAAUGGAUAUGGGGGAUGAAACUUAGAGUAGACUGACAGAAAACUUAAAACUUCCUGUAUCUUCAGAAGAUGGGUAAAAGUACAAAUUCAGAUGAGUUGAUCUGGAAUCUCCCUUACAAGCCCUAGACUUGAGUCUGAGUAUGUAUGCAUGAUGUGGGAAUGACGAGUAUGAAGAGACCAAUGGAAGGAGGGAAACUGCUCAGAUGUCUGAACUUGAAUGUAACAUCUUAAUUUAAAAUAAUGCAACUUUUGGAAGAAUAUAUAUAAACGUAUAUAUAUAUGGAUACAUAAUACAACAGAAAUAGCAUCCCUAUAUUCAAACUGUAGUCCCUACAAACACAAAAUAUUUUACAAGUCAUUUUGCAAAUAAUAUUUUUCCAUUAAAAAUUCAGAAAUCUUCCAGCAGACGUGUUUUGUAAUGGAUUCUAAAUCUUUUCAUAUUUAUAAGGAUAUUCAAUACUUUCAAUUCCUGGGAAGUGCGAGCACCACCAAGACACAAGACCUAUUUUUUUCAUUACAGUAGACAUUUAAAGAAAGAGCAAUUAGAUCUGUGAGCUUCAUAGAAACUCUACUUCAGCCAAGAUUAAAGGAAUGACAUAAAAUUAUCAACCUGUCAUUGGAGUCGCUGCUGGACUUGCAAUAAAGCCAAAGACAUGCUAACAUGAAAAUAAAAUGCUCUAAAAUUCCAUAUAAAUCAGAAUAUAAAAAUCACAAAUUUAUUUAAAAAAAAAUAGAAAAGAAAAAAAAUAAAAAGAAAAUAAAUAAAAAGAAAAAAUAAAAAAAAAUAGAAAUUUCUUCCUGAGGAUCCAUAUAUAUACUGCCAAUAAUCAUUAAACUAAUAAAGGUGCUAAAUAUGCGGUCGAUUACACCACUAUGCCUCAACAAUCAGUCUCACUCAACUCACUUGUUACAUUUAUUCCUUAUCCUUCAGUAUCUUUCCCUUAUAUAGCAUAUUCAUUAUUAUUAUUUCUACAUCACUACAUGUGUAAAAAACAUUUUUUUUAUAAAUGAAAGGUAACGUGGUGUAAAAGACAGUAGAGAAAAGAGAUGAGAAAAAUGCUUGCAAACUUAGAAAAAAAUAAAUGGUUCAAAUUGCAGGUGCUACCUACAACUUGUUUGGUUAUAUACAUACAUAUAUAUGCAUAUGUAUACAUAUACACUUAAAACAUAUUGUUAGCUAGGGGGUUUUCCACAAUUUCUUAGUUUCAAAAUUAACCAACACUAUGGCAUAACUGAACUGAUUCAUCCAUUUGAAACUUCUUUUGAUGUCUUCUUCAAACAUAAUGGCUUGACUUAAAAAAAAAAAUAUUUCAAACACUAUUUCAUUGUUUCAGGCCCACAUUUAAUUCAAUUUUGUAAUCUACAUAUCAAAAAUACCUAAAUUAUUUGAAGUAAAAAGAGCUGGAAACAGAAAAUAUCACUGGAGUUUCCACAGAAACUUCUGUAAAACCAUUCUUAAAUCUUUAUUAUUUGCAAUUAACAGCUGAGAAAACAGAAGGAUCGCAAUUUAUAUUAUCAUUGAGUCAUUUUCAUUCAUACGAUACUUAUUUUGUUUUUGUCACAUUGGUCAACAUUCUGUAAUGAUAAUUACAUGCAUUCUGACACAGAGUGGUGGAAAAGUUGCUUACUUUGGCAAAGAAAAAAUUUUUACACUCCCUCAAGAGGCAAUUCUGUAUCCAUUUAUAUCAAAAUACAUAUAAUGAUUAGAAAAAAGUAAAAAAUAUAGUGAAGCUAGUAUAAACAAAAAGAUAUUGAAGUAACUGCAAAAGUAGUAUCAAGAGUCCUUCAAGCUGAAUGUAUUCAGAAGCAAAUACAUGCUCCAUUGCUUCAAAAGCAAUUUUCCAGAAAUAGAGUGACAUAAUCAUACAUACAACUUCCUUAAAUUCUUAUACUGGUAUGAACAUUUUAAUCAGUCUUUUCACUAUUAAAAACAGUUUAAUUGAUGCAGAAAUUAAAAAAAAAAAAAAAAGUGAUUCAGCUCACUACUGAAGGACAUCAUAAAAUUCCUCAUCCAGCUAUUCCCUCUUAAUAUACACUAUAUACAUACUAUACAUAUAUAUACAUAUACUCCUUAUUAUACACUACGCAAAUAUACCAUGACACUCAUUUCUUUUCUUAUUUUCCAUGUUCAAACAUGAAUUCAGAUUUAAAACAGUGAGAAUUUAAAAAAAAAUAAAAUCUUUUAAAAAAUAAAUCUGUCAAUUUUAUUUCUAACAAAUGUAUUUAUCAAAUAUCAUAAAUAGAACACUGUAACAGAUCAAAUUUUGGUGGGGCUUGAAAUAGAUAAUUAGAUAAUUAUUAUAGUUUAAAAUAUUAAGUGAAAAUUCUCUCAGUCAAUGUGUAUUUGAGCUUUUUAACUAGAAAAAAUAGGAAAAAUUUUCAGCAAUACAAAACAGUGUCUUGGUUUCAUUUUAAAUAUGCUAAAUUACAAAUGAGUUGGGAUACAAGAGAAGGUAUUCAAAAAUCAUAAAUACCCUAUCUUCAGGAAGAUUACCCUAAAAAAAAUGACAUAAAAGCUGCAUCCAAACUGAACAGAAAGCAACAUUUAAAUCCACACUCUCCUACAUGGCUAUAAAAUACUAUAAUAUCCCUUAAGACUGUUGGCCAAAAGCUCACACAUUUCCUUUACAAAUUCUCUGGAAAUAUUAGUCACAGUCAUAGCAUUAAGGCUUGGCAAUAUGGAACUUUGGGGUUUACUAUUUGCUAGUAUAGGCUAAUCAAAAAAACAUCAAGCUGAGCAGCUGACAAUUUUUGUCAGAGUACCAUAAUGUACUCCAAAUUCCAAACGUUAGCUUUAUAACCAUGACAAAUCUGAAAUUACUUUGAUUUACUUACUAUUUAAUAUGUUUUCAUAUUAGCUGAAAAUUAAGAGGAAUUAUAAUCAGGUAUGUUGGUUUUUAUGUUUCUGGGCAACCUAUAUGAUUCAGAACUGAGAUGUGAAACACAGGAUAUUUGAAAUCAUUUCAUCUUUUUUAUGCUGUUGGGAUAUAAAAUCUACUUGUACCAAAAACAGUAAUAGAUUGUACUCAUUUUCUAUUUUCUUCACAAUUUUUUGUUGGCACAUUCAUGAAAUAUGACACAACAAUUAGCUUCUGGGAUAAAAUAAGAAGAAGACAAGCUUUCUACAAUGAAUGCACGUUCAAAAAUGCAGUUAUAACAUCAGUAUCAGAAUUCUGGCAAAAUUUGUGGCAUUAAAUAAUGAAAUAAGCCUCAGAAUUGACUCAUAAAUAUAAUAAAAAAAAUUGCUUGACAGCAUAAAAAGUUACACGUUUUAAUACUAAAGCUGCUACAUUAUUGUGUUGCUAUGUAUAUUGAUGUAGCAUAGUUUUAUCAUUAAAGAUAAAAGAUAAGAUAAAAUUUAAUUUUAUAACAUUUUUUCUUACUGGCAAGAAUUUUCCAAUUGUACUGCAGUAUAAAUUCUUGCAUGUGACAUCCACUCAGUGAAUACUCUAUCAUUAGUGUUCCUUUUUAUCCUUACUGUGUGCAAAACUUCAUGGAUGUUUAUAAAACUAUACUGACAAGGCAUGAUGGAAACAAGAAAAUGUCAAAUAUUUGUUUCUGAUGUGACACCCAGCUCUUCAUGCCAGAAACAAUUUUCUUCUGAGCUGCUGAAACAAUGUAUUACAGUCAAAUAAUGUCUUUAGUAAAUGCUUAAUAGUGACUGAAGCAUUUCUUUGUAAUACACUUCUGGUUCACUUGUGUAAGAACAGCUGUAUUUAUCAUUUCAGGUCUUGUCUAGCUGUGCCCUGUAAGAUAAAAUGGCCACUUCCACAGGCCUGAAUAAGAUUUUCUUUAAGGCAAAAGGAUGAUAUAACCAGCUGUUAAUGGAUUCGGUGUUUUUUUGCUGUUUGUUUUGUGUGCGUGUGUGUGUUUUUAACCCAAGAACUAAUAAUCUUUUUCUAAAACCAUUUUUGUACCCUUUUCAGAAAUUUUAUUUAGGGAAAUUGCAAAUGUUUUGAGCAUAUCUGUAAAUUUUUAAUCUGUCUCUGAGCUCUAGCAAGCUUUUGGUGUCAGCAGAAUUGUGGGUAAAUAAGUUUUAUAAGGUGAUUUAAAAUGUUUGUUUGUUUGUUUUAAAUAUAAAGACUAUAACCUUCACUGCCUAAUUUACUACUCCUACAAUUCAGAUUUUCACUUUAGUCUUUUAGAGAAGGAUUAAAUCCAAAAUUUAAGUCUUACUUACACCUUUCUACCUAGUAAUUCCACAUCAGAUUCUGGAUUCAGAAUACUAGCUGAUCAGAUUCUGGAUUUAGUUACUAGCAUACAAUAGACCAUGAAAAUAAUCCUAAAAUACAAGUACAAGCAAGAGCUGUUUGCAACUCAUCAGUUAAAAAAAAAAAAAUGUACUUCAUUCUCUGUAUUUUCAUAGUAAUUAAUGACAGUGGGGUGAGUAAAUUGGUGCAAGUAGUACCGUUUCUGAUGUACAUUGCUGCAAAGGAAAAGAGAACAGUCUGUAAGGAAUAUCUACCUGUUUAAAAUGACCUUCUCUUCCUUUGUCAUAUGAAACCAGGAACUGCAUGGAAAGGCAGAGGGGGGAUAAGGAUGGAACAUUAGUGGAAAAAAAAUGAAAGAUCAAGAAAUAUCUUCCCUUAAUACAAAAGAUUCAGCUUGAUUUCACUUCACCAGCUCUCUUUCUGACAGGAAAGUUACACCAAUGAAGGUGGUGCGAGGCUUGACCAACGCUAGUGAUAAACACUGUGAGGGAUAAUCCAACCAGGCUGUUAGUUUUCAAUGUGCAUUGCAUUGAGAUAUUCAUCAAGAACAGCAAAGUAUUUGUAGAGGAAAAUGAUUUUUAAAAGAUGUGGGGGAAACAUGUAUUGCUUAUAUUUUAUAUACAGGAAUGCAAAUGUGUAUUGGCAAAUCUCACACUGAAAAAAAUCAAUCUGAAAUAUUGCUGUUGUGGAAGAAAAGUUAGUGAACAACUACAGUGGAAUACAGUAUGUUCAUAAAUACAUCGAUGUUAUUUUCAAUAAAUAAGAAAUUCCUUUAUUUAUCUUUUCUUAUUUUUUACAUAAGAGUGUAUUUUUUAUUGCACGUGUAUGUUUCAUAUAAAGCUUUCUGUUUCACACUUCUAGCACAGUUUUGGCACAAACACAAGUAGUGUUUCAAAGAUGCAUGUCAACUAUCUUCUGCACAAAUUCUCUUUGUAAUUAAUUUGUAUUAAAAUUCCUCCUAUGUAAGUCUCACAAAAUUACUAUUUAAAGCAACCCCAAACCCAAACAAAAGCCGGCAUGUAGAUGUCUCAUUUAAAAUUUCAAUUGAUUUAAGCAAGGAUUCAACCUAUGAGGAGUUUCCAGGAAAAAAAAAAAAAAAUAUAUCUAUAUAUCUAUAUAUAUAUAUAUAUAUAUAUAUAUAUACAUCCUAGCAGUGCUGGUCUGAAGUUUUCCCAUGUUUAUUUACAAACAUUUAGAUGUGCUCCUUUGUAGCAAGAAAACAAGGAAGAUUAAUGUAUAGGUGUAAUUUAGCAUACUCUUACAGCUUAGUCCCCUGUAAUUCCCUAGGCUUGUUUAUGGCAUGGCUGCAUUUGUUAUUUCCUCCCUCUCUACCUGCUGCUUUUGUUGGAACCAACAGAACAGAGCCCAGUUGUCAGUUCCAGUAGUGAACCAAUCUUUGCCAUAUGCCUCCGUUUAAAGUGAAUAGACUGUCUCUGCCUGGCUUAAUUAAGGACCUUAGUAUUCUGUUUUCCAGUGAUCUUUACUUUUCCUAAUCUACUUUUUUUUUUUUUUUUGUGCUAGAUCAGCCAUACCCAAAUUGUGCAGAUAUAAACAAAAACAUACUUUGAACAAAAGCAAAACUGAAUUUUGCUAGAAACAUUUUCAGUCUUCUGUUUUCAUAUGCCCUUGGUAUACACUAAGCUAACCAUGAACCAGCAGUGAUCCCUUGCAGCAAGGAAGGCUAAAAGCAUCCUAGAUUGCAUUAGGAAGAGCAUCACCAGCAAGCUGAAGGAGGCGAUCUUUCCCCACUGCUCAGCAUGGAGAAGCCCUUAAAAUCAAGAAGUUCUACAAUAUAACAUUUGCUGGGAUCACCAGUUCCAAGGCAGAGGGGUCACUUGCCUCUCCAAGGGAGGAUGAAUUCUGGCUGCAUGUUUUCAACCGGCCUUGAACAACCGACAGAAAUCCUAGGACUGAGAAUGAUUUGUUGUUGGCUUAAGCAGCAGUGACGCUUAUGGCUGAUUAUUUCUGCUCCUUAUGCUACGCUAGGAUAAUGGUUGAAUAGUUUAAAGUUUUGUAGAUAAGCUUAAUGAUAUCAAGAAAUGAAUUGUGUGAAUUUUAGCGAUGUUAUUUGUUUUGCUCAACUAUAUUGAAAAACCAACAUAAACCACAGACGCUCAGAUUAAACAGAACCAUCUCAUCCUGAGAAAUAACUGCUGGGAAUUUUAUCUUUCAUGUUUCUCUGUUCUGCCUAUUCUGACUACAAGCAUAUAUACUUAAUUUCACUUACAUUACUAAAUUACAGAAUCCACAUCAAACAGAUUCUAGACUCAACUAAUUCCAAGUUUUACAGUAAUCUUGCAAAACAAGACGCUAUGCAAAGUUUUACAAUACCAAAAAAUAUCCUGAAUUUUGGUCAUAUGUACCUUAAACAUUCUGUGUUCAAUAUUUCCAUAGGAAUUAAGCCAGCCAGAUAAAUAAUGUCUAUCUUGAAAAUAUCUUACCAGUAUCAACCAUAAUAAUAUUGCUAACUAUGAAAAUAAAAACUUGUUUGUUUGGAGUAUUAUUUAAAGUAAACAUGCCUCAGUCUUCAUGGAAGACAAAUGUGCUAUGCUUUCAAUUCCUCUAAAGUUGCAUUAGAAAUCUUUAAUGCUUUGGUCAGCUACAAUAUCAUUUCAAUCUCUUCAGCAUGUUAACCAAUUAUUUUUUGCAAUCUUGACUUAACCUGUACCUGUUGGAUCAUACAAUCUGUUAUUAGGACUUGUUAUUGAUUCUCUUAUUAAACUUCCGCCAAUGAAAGUGUUUUAAAGAGUUGUAUAUGUGAAUAUAUGUUUUAAACAUUGCUGAUUUCUAUUUCCAGUACUUCAUAAAACAGAUGGAGGUGGCAUGCUUGCUAAAUGUUUUAGCUAAUCAUUUUCUGUAAUUAAAUGUAAUCUCCGAUCAUUCAGGAAAUGAAGACGUGUAAUAAACUUAAGGAAAUUGAGCAGUCAAUAGCUGCAAUACAUGACAGUAGUUAACUACUGUAUCGGGAGUUAAAAAUUCCCAUGCACUAUCUAAUAAUAUGACUCUCCAUAUAGAGUUUCUACUUAGUGGUGAGGAUGGAUAGGUCCAUAAAAGCAACUGUAUUUUGGGUCUGUCUAAUUCAUGUUAGGUUAAAGAAGAUUUAGGAUCAAACUAUAACUGUUGAAUUUCUUUUCUGUUACUAUCAGACUUUUUCCUUGCAUUUAUAGGCACAAGUUAUGAGGGGCUUUACUUUUUUUUUUUUUUUUCACCAUCCACAAAAGUGGAAGAAUCCUGUGUAAAUGAUUAGAAGGAACAUGUGAGCUGUUCCUUCUGAGGAGCUGAGCAGUUAUUUAGGAAUAAAAUGUCACAUAAUUUCUUAUGCAUGCUAGUCCAGACUUCAGCCAGGGACCUAUCCCAUUUUUCAUGAUUUCUACUUUGGAAAAUAAUAAUAGAAUUUUGAAUAGGCACUUGUGCUCACACAUUCUUUAUGCUAUUGACUUCCUAGUGUUUUGUGCAGUUGCUUGACAUCAGAACAAAAGAUUUGAUUCCUAUUAUAUGUAUUCACAGAAGGACUAAUAUUAAGCUUUCCGUGUUUUUUUUAACAUUGCAGUAUUAACCAAGGCUUAUGAAGCCACUUGAGUUUAAAUUCUCUAAAUUUUAAAAUUCCAAUAUUCUCUAGAUAACAUUGACUUUACCAAUUCCUUCAUUCUUUUCUGCUUUAAUAAUAUCUACCUAUUAAAGAUGAUAAAACAGAAUAAAUUGUAAUUCGUAAUAUUGUCAAAAAUAAAUUGCCAUUUAUGCUACUAAUAUGCACUAUAAAAAGCUGAGAGAAAUAUGAAUCAACUAAAAAAAUGCGUUCCUGGUAACAAGCAGAAGCAUGGGGAUAAGAACUUCAUUACUAUCUUUUCCAUAGCUAAAUUUUGUUGAUUAUGUAGUCCUUUGUAUAAGCAAAUCAUUAAUUUAAUGAUUAUACAUGCCUAAAAGACACAGCUACACUGCCUCAGGAAAAAUGAACUGUAUUCAGAUUUCAUGAAAUAAUACAGAAACCUUCCUAGAGCUCAGAGGAUGCCCUAUACCUUCCUGAAUAUCAUUGAGUUCUGCCAGCUUACACGCUGACAGGAGAGUCAUAACACAAACCCUAGAGCCAGCUGUAAACUUGCCAGAGGAAUAUCUUCCACUGGAAAGUGUCAUUUCAGUAAAUAACAUUAGUUCCUAAGAUUUAGGCAGCAUGUAUCAAGACCUCCCAAAACAGUAACAAUAUUGUUUGGUAUAGGACAUUUAUUGCGGAAAUGUAAGAAAUGUCAGUGUUUCAGAAUCUACUUUGAUCUAAUUAAACACUGAAAUGCAUUUUGAAACACUGAUAUUUCUUACAAAUCUACAUUUCAAGUACCUUUAUCAAAUAGGAUAAACUAGUUACUUCCACUCAGUACUCACUACCUCCCACCAAAGUCAAAGUAUAUUCAGAGAUUACAUUCUGUGUGUGUAUCACUUCUGAAAAAAGGCCACUGCUUUGUGUUCAGCUAAUGCAUGGGUGUUUGAUCUAGCCUGACAAGCAACAAUCUCCUUUCAGUAGUUCCACAUUUUUGUUACAAAAAUAUUUUGGACAAAAUUUUCAUACCAUUUUUCUUUAGCCAUUCCGUGAAACUGCUAACAUAAAUGUACGGGCCAUGGCCUCUUUGGCGUCUCCAGAUAGACCUGAAAGAAUCUGGGAGUAAUUUGGGUUCAUUGUGGAUAUCCUGUUAGGAGAUUAGAAAUGUAUAAACUCCCUAGUUGCCUUACUGCUUUUAUGUGCUCUUUAUAAAACAUUUCCAAACUAGAAGAAUAAUAUAUUUGUUAUUUCUGGCACUGUUAUACACAAUAGUAAUUAACAUUAGCUAUUUAACUCUUGCAAAGCAUGCAAACCACAAUAUGUUUAUGAUGUACAGCACUUCAAACAUAUGCUUGUGUUCACACAAUGCCACCUAAUCACCUGCAUGAGAGCACUGGCACAGAAUGCCAGAAUUAUGCAGCCACUCUUCCAAACAGCUCCUAAAUUGUUUAAAGUUGUCUACUCCUCUAGCAAAAUAUUGUGAUUUGAAAACUCUUCAAGUAUUACACAUCAUUUUAAAGAAAAGGAGGUGAAUUCUGCAUGUACAACCUGUGUGUAGAAGAGGUUGUAAAUACAAAAUAAUGUUAUUUUUAAAAGGAUACCAAAAGUAAUCAAAAAUCAGUGCCCAGUGGGCAUACUCACAUUGCAAUUCUAUUUCUAUACAUAAAACUGCAAUUAAUUUCAAACUAGUUUUUAUGCAGUUUUUGCUUUCUUUAAAUGUGGAGUGAGUUCUCCCCAUAAACUAAUGAACUGAAGUGAAGCCAAAUAGAGACCAGCUGGCUGAAUUGCUAAGUAAUUUUAUCCACAUGAUUGACUUUAUGAUCCUUUCACUACAGUAACUAGUCUUUAUUCUCACAAUCAGCAUCAACCAUAAUUCCAAGAGGGAAAAAUGAUUAAAAACCUAGAGAAUAGAGAGGAGAGGUUUGUUUGAUGUGGUACAGUGCAUUCUUGCACACAUUUCUUCUGUAUAAUAGGUGCAGAAUUACAGGUCUUUAUAGCCUCCAAAGUAGCACAGUGAAUAGCUGCCUCAAAGACAUAAUAAGCAACCAAUGCCUAAAUAAUCAUUACAGAUACUCCAUUAACAGCAUCUAACUGUGUGGCUUUUAACCAUACAAAUUGUUUUUUGACAGCUUGUAACCUUUCCAAACAGUUUCCUUUGGGCAUUACACCACACUCAGAUCUAAUUUUAACUUUUGCUUUGUCUAUAAUUUAUUGCUUUCUUUGGAGACACAUAAUGUAUUUCAGUGAAAUGGAUAAAUUCAA